GCUGACCUACAGGCGGUGACUGGGGUCCAGGAAUAAAGAACAGUCUCUUAAACUCACUCUUGACACACAGCCUGUGCCAGAUUCAGCCUUGGGAAGAAGUUUAGAGACAAGCCCUGCUGUAGAGGGACACGAGAAGAUGGGCACUUAGGUACAUAGUUUAAGAUUCUGUUUUUCCUUUGGCUGUAACAAAGCCUCUUACAGAUAAUUAUCCUCUUCCCAUCUAGCAUAGUGGUGCUGAGAUGGCGUUUUUAUGUUCACCCCCGUAGGUGUGACUCCGCCUGACUAAAAGACAUCUCCGUUCUCCUCAGGGCAUCAAAUAUUCUGUGUUUAAUUAAGCCUUGUUUUAAUUCUCUCAGUAAAUUUUCCUGCUGGUGGCAAGUGUUGGAUUGAAAGCCCUGGAGACCAAAGUGCCAGAUGCAAAGAAAAAGGUAGCUGCAGUCUUCACUGAUGUGCUUCAGCUCUGACUGGGAGGGGCCAUGUCUCUAGGCAUCUCCCCCAGUAAGAACCAUAUGAGGCGUCUGGAUAGUGGAGAACAAAAUCCAAGUUGUAGGAUAGCAUCAGCCACCCCGGACGUGCUGCACUUGUCGCUGGGGCUGGGCCAGAUUAAACACGACGCAUGGUAUGUUUGUCCCUGGCAGUCUGUGACUCAGGUCAUGGAGCGAUGUCAUCAUGAACAGCCUGGAGAGCACAUGAGGCAUAUGGCCUGUUGGAUAAAGCCCCACAGUGCGCCCCACGUGCUCACAAGGCUGGGAAGACCUGUUCUUGCUGAUGACCUUCUGAGGGCGUGGGUAUAUCUACAAUUCGAGCUGGUGCGUGUGUGUGUGUGUGUGUGUGUGUGUGACAUACCCAUGCUAACGGCAAUGACUAAAAAUAGCAUGUAGCCGCGUCGGCAUGAGCCAUGGGAGAGGCUAGUGGCCCUGAGUACAUGCCUAUGAUCAUACUCCCAGGGUGGCUAGCCACUCCUGCUGCUGCAAAUGGACUCUGUUUUUAGCGUGCAGACUCUCACUGAGCCAGCACCAAGUAUGUCUCCUCGAGCUGGGAUGCCCUCCCCCAGUUCCCAGCCUAGACAUAUCCACUGACCAGCUGGGGAGGGCUGCAAACCCAGCUGUGAAGCCAGCUAUAAAGCCCUGCCCCACUCUACCAGCUGAAGAGGCAAGGUGCUGGCUGCUGCAAUUAUCAGAGCAGCCAGGGAGGGGAACUGGCCAUUCCUGCUGCCUGGAACAAGGUCUGCCUCGCCAGUCCCUGGAGCAAGGGGCUCUGUGUGAAGUGGGCAUGAGCCCUGCCCCCUAGGACAGCAGCCCAUGUGGUGGUGGGGGGAUGCUCAGGAGAGCAAAGGGCCCUACUAAUCUGUUCUGUGCAUUGACUUUUCCUUUAUUUACAACUAAAAUGAUGACUGCAUUAUUUGCCACGGCAGAGCCGCAACCAUUUCCUGCCAUGGCAGCUAGCUUUGCCCAUCACCAGUCCCCGAAGCCAUCCAGCCCCAGGUACCCUCUGCCGAACCCACAACGCUAUGGUUGCAGAAUUGUUCCUCCGAAGCUUGAAACCCAGUUGCUUUGAUGUGCUCUCUGUCUAGGCCGAUGUGGUUUAAAGUCCUUGUUUAUGAAUUCCAUUGCCAGUGCCUUGUUUUAAGAGACAUCUUUGCUGCAGACCAAGUAUGUGUAAUUAGUGACUUGGCCCAGCUGAGCUCGCUUCUCGACAUCCUGCAGCGCUCGGAGACCCGCUAAAGAGAAGCUGGCACCAAUCAGACGGACCUUUUUAUUUUAUGGGGCCAGAGAGCAGUUUCAUUGUUCAUAAGAACAGCAGCUCCCUGCAGUGUGAAAGUGUAGUUCAAUGAAGCAUUUUACCUAGGGUUACCAGAUAGCAAGUGUGAAAAAUCGGGAUGGGGGUGGGGGGUACUAUAUAAGGAAAAAGAUCCAAAAAUCAGGACUGUCUCUAUAAAAUCAGGACAUCUGGUCACCCUAAUUUUACCUCCCAUCCCAGGCCUCCCUUAGAACAGACAGUUGGCCAGUGUGGGUCUCUCGGGGGCUCAAGGAAAGCUUAGAAGUGAAUGUAAGGAACCUAUUCUAGGCUUGCAGCAAAUCUCAGCCGAUUCUUCUUUCUGAAUGUGCUGCUUAUGCACCAAAUGCCUGACUCUCUCCUGUGAAGGAUCUGAGUUGGGCAUUCAAAUACAGACGGGACCCUCCCGAGGGGCCUGGGUAUUUGCUUGCCCACUCUGGGAGUGCUCCCGGGUCACCCCUACUUUUUUAUUUAGGAAAUUCAACCUAUUGCCCAGGUCCUGAACGUGCAAGGGGACAAGCACUCUGGUCCAGAUCCAGCAAAGCAUUGAAUGACACGCUUAACUGUCAGCAUGUGAGUAGUUAAAGUUAAGCACGUGCUUAAAUGCUUUGGCCUUGAUCCGACAACGUGCUUCUCGCCUUGCAGAAUCAAGCACGUCUGGCGUACCUAGAAAAGUUGUACGAUCCCGUCUUAUCUGUGGGGUGUUGGCAAAGCAGGCGAACCCAGAGCAACGCAUCAGAAGAGAAACCGGGAACCAGGGCCCGCUCUACUGCUAGCUCAGCACUUGGAGUGAGGGACAAUCCUGGGCAAAGGACAAAGAUAUCUCCUGCUGUCCCAGCCUGGACUGGCAUUGCUGCCUAGGUUAUGUGUCAGAGCUGGGCACACCUUUUUUUCAGCUGAAACGCUUUCUCUCUGAAAAAUGCCGAUUUGGGUAAACUGAAGCCUUUCCGGAGUUCAGGUUGAUUUCGGGGAAACAAAAAAUAUUUUUUUUAAAUGUCCAAAUAAACCAUUUCAACAACAUUGAAACA
rnacentral:lncRNA from 1 species